rnacentral:ncRNA from 1 species
UCUAAGUUAACACGGGAAAACUCACCCGACCCGGACACUGAAGAUUGACAGAUUGAUAGCUCUUUCUUGAUUCGAUGGAUGGUGGUGCAUGGUCGUUUUUAGUUGGUGGAGCAACUUGUCUGGUUAAUUCCGAUAACGAACGAGACUUUAACCUGCUAAAUAGUAGACUGGUCCUAUGUGCUCGUUCACGUCACGAUUUUACUCUUGUGAUUUGUUGCAUGAACCGAUCAUUUGAGAGGACAUUCGAAGAAAGUUCAAAAACCGAGAUCAAACCGUUUACGUCUGG